rnacentral:rRNA from 1 species
UACGUAGGGGGCGAGCGUUGUCCGGAUUUAUUGGGCGUAAAGAGCGUGUAGGCGGCCAGGUAGGUCUGCUGUGAAAACUCGAGGCUCAACCUCGAGACGUCGGCGGAAACCAUCUGGCUAGAGUCCGGAAGAGGAGAGUGGAAUUCCUGGUGUAGCGGUGAAAUGCGUAGAUAUCUGGAGGAACACCGGUGGCGAAGGCGGCAUCCUGGACCGGCAUUGACGCUGAGGCGCGAAAGCUAGGGGAGCAAACGGG